GAUUUGGAGCUGACCUGAUGAUGGAGACCAGAGAGGGUCGAGGGAACUCGACAACUGAAUAUGUAAACUACCUCGUGUUUGGGCUUAAAUUAUUUGUAUUGACAAGACCUUUGCAACAGUGAAGGUUUGGAGCUGACCUGAUGAUGGAGACCAGAGAAAGUCGAGGGAACUCGACAACUGAAUAUGUAAAAUACCUCGUUUGGACUUAUAUUCUUUGUAUUGAUGAGAACUUCCCACUUGUAUGGAUAGUGACAACUAUUCGUAAUAUCACC
rnacentral:lncRNA from 1 species